AUUCCCCUAGUAACUGCGAGUGAAGCGGGAAGAGCUCAAAUUUAAAAUCUGGCGGUCCUGCCGUCCGAGUUGUAAUCUGGAGAAGCGUUUUCCGCGUUGGACCGUGUACAAGUCUCUUGGAAUAGAGCGUCAUAGAGGGUGAGAAUCCCGUCUUUGACACGGACUGCCAAUGCUUUGUGAUACGCUCUCGAAGAGUCGAGUUGUUUGGGAAUGCAGCUCAAAAUGGGUGGUAAAUUCCAUCUAAAGCUAAAUACUGGCGAGAGACCGAUAGCGAACAAGUACCGUGAGGGAAAGAUGAAAAGCACUUUGAAAAGAGAGUUAAACAGUACGUGAAAUUGUUGAAAGGGAAACGCUUGAAGUCAGUCGCGUCGUCCGGGAUUCAGCCUUGCUUCUGCUUGGUGUACUUCCCGGUAGACGGGCCAACAUCGAUUUUGGUCGGCGGAUAAAGGCGGGGGGAAUGUGGCACCUUCGGGUGUGUUAUAGCCCUUUGUCGGAUACGUCGGCCGGGAUCGAGGAUCGCAGCACGCCUUCAUUUGGCCGGGGUUCGCCCACGCAACGUGCUUAGGAUGUUGGCAUAAUGGCUUUAAGCGACCCGUCUUGAAACACGGACCAAGGAGUCUAACAUGCCCGCGAGUGUUAGGGUGCAAACCCUUGCGCGUAAUGAAAGUGAAAGUUGGGACCUCUGUCGAGGAGGGCACCGACGCCCGGUCUUGAGCUUCUGCGACGGAACCGCGGUAGAGCGUGCAUGUCGGGACCCGAAAGAUGGUGAACUAUGCCUGAAUAGGGCGAAGCCAGAGGAAACUCUGGUGGAGGCUCGUAGCGAUUCUGACGUGCAAAUCGAUCGUCAAAUUUGGGUAUAGGGGCGAAAGACUAAUCGA
rnacentral:rRNA from 1 species